CCCAGAGCAGGGAGUGCUCAGCUGCAGUGUGCACUACCACACCAGUGACUGCCUGGCUCUCUCGCUCUUUAUAUUUCUCUGCUGCACCGGGAGCUGCCGUGGUGGUGGUGCUCCUGUCUGAAUGGCCGCGGUUGGAGUCUGGGCCGAGGCUCCGGGCUGUGGAUGUCACUGCUAUCUUCCAGUCCUGCAGUUGGGCCUGCUGACAGCCAGCUGUUGAAGGUGUGUCUAACAGAGCGAUUGGGAAGCAGCAGCAGCAGCAGCAGCCCUGGGACCAGUCAGAGCUUGGUUUGAGUGACAGUCCCCUCAUCUAAUGACUGAACGUGAGCGCUCUCACUGCCUCAGAUGGGCCCACAGUCAGAGAUGUGAUCGCCGGGGUGGCAUCCCAACAUGUGAAGGAGCGGCGGCGGGAGGGAGAUGGAUGGUCAGGACUCGGCGGUGCACCAGGUCCACCUGCAGUAGCUGAAGACUCCACUGACAGCCCAGCAGGGGACAGUGAGGGCGUUGGCUUUCACACCUCAGUUCAGGUUUGGGCCUGAAAGACGUGCCAGACCUGCUGCCAAAGCAUCGGCCUCCACCUCACCCUGCAGACAUGGCUGAACACACACACACACACACACACACACACACACACACACACACACACGCAUGCAUACACACACAAACACGCACACACACACUGUAAAAAAAACAUUGCAUAUCUCUCAUAGGUGUUUUUAAGCAUGUGAGCAUGCUUUACUUCCUCAUAUUUCUAUACAUUCACCAUGCAUAGAUGCCCAAGCCCCUUUCCUGUGCGCACACACACACACACACACACACAGACAAACAUUCCUGCCAUCUCUGCAUCUCUGUCUCUGAUGAUUGAGUCGUCACACACUCUCAUGCUUCAUGUCAGACCUAGACGCGUUCAGAGCCACAUUCACACGGUCUCCCUCGACGCAAACAUAAACACACGCAUGCGUUCGGUUUGUCAGUUGUCUCUCAGGCAUGCCCUAUUUUUAAAACUGUGAGCACACCUACGCACAUUCUCCCAUGCUUAUGGGCACACCCACUGCGGCCCCUGUCAGACCGUCCUCGGCUCAGAGAACACACUGCACAGUUGUAAGGCAGGGAAAAUUAGUCAGGUGAAGUAAAUCUCGACACCCGACACUAGUGGUCUCUCUUUAAAGUUGUUUGCGCCACCGCCCCCAUACUUAAUGGAACAGCACCUACUGAUUAUUGCAUGCUCUGAGCUAGUCUGGUAAUUGCACAGUACAUACCUGUCCAGGGUGUAAGCCCAUCCGCUGAACACGGGGCCCCUCUGGUACACGGCUCACAGUGUUGUCGUAACCGAGUGAGGGAGCCUCCUAUCUGUCAUUCAGUAUCAGUCAAUGUCAGUGUGCAUCCCCACUCUGUGAUGCAUGUGUCCCAUUGAUCAAUUCAUAGAAAGGUGUGCAUGUUCAAUCAGCUAAUGUUAAUAAAGUUCCAUCUUAAAAAAAAAACAAGAAAGAUGUCACGCAGGAUGAGAAUCAGCCCUUCAACAUUUAAGCCCUGAUGGUUUUCAACAGCCACUUGACAUGUGAAUCAGUGCACGUUCCUUAAACCUGCGGUUGUUUUCAUGACAUCUGAAUGAGUCAGACUGUGUGUUAUGUUUUUAGCUGAUGGCGAUGCCUGUGGUAGUAGAGCGUAGUCUGCAACCACAGACACAUUGUAAAUAUCACAUCAGAGGAUUCUUUUGUAGUUAUUUUGGGUGGUUUGUUUGACCAACAUCAGCCUCUCUCUUAACUUUAAAUCAGAGACACUGCUUAUCUUAAUGUCCCGUAAGAUUCAGAUCAGUAGGCGGUUUUGGCUGCCUUUGCUCAUCAUACAAACCUGCUCUAAAACACCCACUCUUGCUUUAUUUGUGCAUGUGUUUUUGCUUGCAGCAUUUGGCUUUUCACUUUCUUGUAACCAUUAUACCAAAUUAUUACCGAUAAACUAUUCAGCAGCUUGGUAAGAUGCAGGAAGCACCUUAAUGAGGAAGUGUGUGCAAAGGAGAAUUAUUUAUCGGCACGACUGGAAAAAAUAGGAAAGACAGGACGAGAGGGCUAGAAGUGAAUGAAGGCUCACAGAGAGAUCAAACUGUCUAAUUUCAGGGCAUUUACCAGCUUGUUCCUGGGAGAAGCAAACUGGAAUGAGGAGUGGCUACAGAAGUUUGUCACACAAGUUCUGUCUGAAAACACACUGAAUGCACUCUUCAUAUUCAAUAUUCAACCAUAUGAGAGUGCAUACCGUACAUUUAGAUGCAAACCAUGGCAACAUACUGAUGCCAAAAUGCUAAUAAUGCUGGUUAAAUAGCUUGUAUGUUGCACUGUAUUACUGCUUUGUAAUUCACCACACAUGCACAGAUAGGAAUGUAUGUGACAUCCUCACAUCUACCUCCCUUUAUCAUUAUCUGCCGGAAAUAAACAUACAUAAAGAAUAUAACAAGAAUCACUAUUAUUUUAUUGUUUGCAAUAAAAGAUAUGUGCAUUAUUGAAUUUUAAUGUGAAUUAAUUAUGACAUAAAAGUUUUGACAUUGUGGAUUUUGGGUAUAGAGAAAAGAUCAUAAUC